rnacentral:rRNA from 1 species
UACGUAGGGGGGCGAGCGUUGUCCGGAAUCAUUGGGCGUAAAGCGCGUGUAGGCGGCCCGGUAAGUCCGCUGUGAAAGUCCAGGGCUCAACCCUGGGAUGCCGGUGGAUACUGUCGGGCUCGAGUCCGGAAGAGGCGAGUGGAAUUCCUGGUGUAGCGGUGAAAUGCGCAGAUAUCAGGAGGAACACCGGUGGCGAAGGCGGGUCUCUGGGCCGUAACUGGCGCUGAGGAGCGAAAGCAUGGGGAGCGAACAGG